AAAGGGAAACCUUCCCGUACGGUUCGGAGAGCACUGAAUUAGAAUGAGAGGUUCAUCACCACAUCAUUGCAUGCAAGGAAAGCUUGCUCGAUUCGUAGA